UACGUAGGGGGCAAGCGUUGUCCGGAAUCAUUGGGCGUAAAGCGCGUGUAGGCGGCCAGAAAAGUCCGCUGUGAAAACUCGAGGCUCAACUUCGAGCUGUCGGUGGAAACUUUCUGGCUAGAGUCCGGAAGAGGAGAAUGGAAUUCCUGGUGUAGCGGUGAAAUGCGCAGAUAUCAGGAAGAACACCCGUGGCGAAGGCGGUUCUCUGGGACGGUACUGACGCUGAGGCGCGAAAGCGUGGGGAGCGAACAGG
rnacentral:rRNA from 1 species